rnacentral:rRNA from 1 species
AUUGAACGCUGGCGGCAUGCUUUACACAUGCAAGUCGAACGGCAGCGCGGGCUUCGGCCUGGCGGCGAGUGGCGAACGGGUGAGUAAUAUAUCGGAACGUACCCAAGAGUGGGGGAUAACGUAGCGAAAGUUACGCUAAUACCGCAUACGAUCUACGGAUGAAAGCAGGGGACCGCAAGCCUUGUGCUCCUGGAGCGGCCGAUAUCUGAUUAGCUAGUUGGUGAGGUAAAGGCUCACCAAGGCAACGAUCAGUAGCUGGUCUGAGAGGACGACCAGCCACACUGGAAACUGAGACACGGUCCAGACUCCUACGGGAGGCAGCAGUGGGGAAUUUUGGCACAAUGGGGGUCAACCCUNAUCCAGCAAUGCCGCGUGAGUGAAGAAGGCCUCGGUUGUAAAGCUCUUUUGUCAGGGAAGAAAAGGUCGUGGCUAAUAUCCACGACUGCUGACGGUACCUGAAG